AUUGAACGCUAGCGGGAUGCUUUACACAUGCAAGUCGAACGGCAGCGCGGACUUCGGUCUGGCGGCGAGUGGCGCACGGGUGAGUAAUGUAUCGGAACGUGCCCAGUAGCGGGGGAUAACUACGCGAAAGCGUAGCUAAUACCGCAUACGCCCUACGGGGGAAAGCAGGGGAUCGUAAGACCUUGCACUAUUGGAGCGGCCGAUAUCGGAUUAGCUAGUUGGUGAGGUAACGGCUCACCAAGGCGACGAUCCGUAGCUGGUUUGAGAGGACGACCAGCCACACUGGGACUGAGACACGGCCCAGACUCCUACGGGAGGCAGCAGUGGGGAAUUUUGGACAAUGGUGGCAACCCUGAUCCAGCCAUCCCGCGUGUGCGAUGAAGGCCUUCGGGUUGUAAAGCACUUUUGGCAGGAAAGAAACGUCGCGGGCUAAUACCCCGUGGAACUGACGGUACCUGCAGAAUAAGCACCGGCUAACUACGUG
rnacentral:rRNA from 1 species